rnacentral:lncRNA from 11 species
GCCGCAUUUUAUGCUGUUUGAGCAUUGAGUAACUCAGCUUCAUGUCUCAAUUAUUUAAUUCCAAGUCUACAGAGGGACUCUUAAAAUAACAGCUUCAUGGGCCCUACGCCAAGAUUCAGGUAUUUUUUUGGAUCCAUACACAAUGGAAGGAUGGAUGGAAAAGCUGCCAACAGAGAAAGUUACACUGCUGGCUCCAAAGCAGCUUGGGGGAAGACUCCCUGUGUUGUCCCAUUGGCACUGUUGUCCCCAUCAUCCUUUUAUUUGUGCCACUGUUUACAUUACCACCCUCACCACCAAUACUGGUAUAGAAUUAGAAAGUUGGAAGAGGUGUUAUAGGCCACCAGGUUCAACCUUCAGCUCAGCAAAGGAUUUCCAGUUAGAAAAUCCCAGCAGGUAGCUUUCCAGCCCCUUUCUGAAGACAUCCAAAGAAGAAGAUCUCACUACCUCUCUAGGCUGCAGACAAGCAGGCACAUGUGCUUUAAGGAGCUUCAUAUCUUCUACUCUAGAGGAGAGCUGCUUGGCUGCAGGAAGGUGCACACUUGAAGGAGGCUUCUUGUUUAGAGCUUUUUUCUACUCUAGAGGAGAGGUGCUCAGCUGCAGGCAGGCAUGCUUGCAUUAAGGAGGCUUGCCAGGUAAAGCUUCUGCAGGGCCAACAAAUUUUUGUUUGUGAGAGAUAACAGUUGGAUGUGGUGUUUUGUUCAGAUCAAUGUGGUCUUGAGUAGACUUGUGUAUUUCUAUAAAAUUGCUACACAUUUCUGUUUGUUCCAUUUGUAUGGCCCCAUUUACGUGUCUGUCUGCUGCUUACAAAACCAGCACCCAUCCAAAUGAGAUCUUUCAUUUCACAAUCAGAAUAUUGAAAUGCAUUCAUCCCAUUGGUGGCAUUGGGCGGGCUGCCCAGGCUCUCCUUCCACUCAGUUUUAGGGCUAGAGAAUCACCACGCAUGGAGGGAAUAUCUACCACUUUUAGCCCUCCAACUCUUACAAGGUUUGGGUCCUCCCUCGAAUUUUAGAAAUUUUUUCUUUCUAUAAAUAAAAUCUCCU